rnacentral:rRNA from 1 species
UACGAAGGUGGCAAGCGUUGUUCGGAUUUACUGGGCGUACAGGGAGCGUAGGCGGUUCGGUAAGCCCUCCGUGAAAUCUCCAGGCUUAACCUGGAAAGUGCAGAGGGGACUGUUCAGCUAGAGGAUGGGAGAGGAGCGCGGAAUUCCCGGUGUAGCGGUGAAAUGCGUAGAGAUCGGGAGGAAGGCCGGUGGCGAAGGCGGCGCUCUGGGACAUUUCUGACGCUGAGGCUCGAAAGCGUGGGGAGCAAACAGG